UACGGGGGGGGCAAGCGUUGUUCGGAAUUACUGGGCGUAAAGGGCUCGUAGGCGGCCAACUAAGUCAGACGUGAAAUCCCUCGGCUUAACCGGGGAACUGCGUCUGAUACUGGUUGGCUUGAAUCCGGGAGAGGGAUGUGGAAUUCCAGGUGUAGCGGUGAAAUGCGUAGAUAUCUGGAGGAACACCGGUGGCGAAGGCGGCAUCCUGGACCGGUACUGACGCUGAUGAGCGAAAGCUAGGGGAGCAAACGGG
rnacentral:rRNA from 1 species